AUGGCUUCGUUUGUCCUCUGUGUCCCACAUCUUUGCUCGGGCUCGGCCACUGUUUCUCUAUCCCAGGAAAAGUGGAUUCUCACACCACUCAGCCUGCCGCAAAGACAUACAUUUCAUGGACCCCAAACCAGCCCUGAAGCCGUAACAUUCCUCCAGCCCUACAAGACCAGAAAUGAGAUCAUGAUCACCUGGACUCCAGCUCACCACAGCCCCCUAAAACUGGUUCCUACUCCUUCAAGUGAAAGAGCCGAUCUGAUCCUCCUCCUCAGAGGUGUGCUGCCACCAGCUGCCCAAGCUGGAGUCCCUUCCCUGUCUUCUCUCAUACUUUCCAAUUAAAGUUAUGUCUAGAAUUUCAUGCCAUUGCUCAGUUUAAACUUCCAUUAUCAAUAAAGCAAUUCCCCAAGUUAGCAGGUGACAGAAUCAGGAACUGUGACCGAGCCUGUAAGACACUCAAAGGUGACUUUGCCUGGAGCCCACAGAGGGCUGCAGGGCAGAGAUGCUCAAAAAGUGCCCGGCUCGGUUCCAGACCCCAGUACUGCUGCUGUGGUGGUCAGAGUGACGGAGCCUCCUGAUUUCCACAUUUCCUGGUUCCUGUCUCCAAAUCGGUCCUGUUCUAUUUAUGCUCCCAUUAUUUUUCAGGUCCUAGUUAUAUGCGUCCAUGAAAGAAUGAGACUAACAUCCAAUGUGACAGGACACGAUGGGCUUCUAUUUUGGCACUCCAGCUUUCUCCAGGUGUCAAGAACUUAGCAGCAAUACGAUCUGAUCACACCUCUCCCCGCUUUGCUCUGUACUAGGUAGCUGCUCUCAUUUCUUAGUCCCAGAACCUGACUCGACCCUGUUUAAGACCAAGGUAGGGAGUAGGGGGCAGACAGGCAAUAUGGUGCAGUUCAACAUUUAGAAACACUUCCCACUUGCUGACCCUUGCCAGGCCUUGGCCAUACAGAGAGGCUGAAUGAGACACAGGCCUUGUCCCCAGGGAGCAAAUGCUUCCCUUGCAUGGAUCCAUUGUAUCUCUGAAGAGGACUAAAAAUGCAACUGCUACAGACAAACUUGCUGCUGCAAAAAUGCUAGCAUCCUUAGGCAGGCUGCCUCUGCAGUCCAUCUAUAACCUCCAUGAGUUCAAGGACCAAAAAAAAAUGGUCACAGUAUAUUCCUUUCUAAAUUAAGCUUUGCAUCACUUUGGAAACUAACAAAGCAUUUCUUCCCACAGACACUGUUCCCAAAUUAAACAUUUUGUGCUUACACAGCUGUUCAGAUGUUGAUUUCUUUCCAAGGUAAGGAAGAGAGGUGGGUUGCUAGCAGAGCUGGACCCUGUGGGGAGAGGGAAGCUGUGCUCAGGUAGCAGAUGUGAUAGAGUGGUUGGGCAGAGUGUGAUUAAAUAGGCACGUAGAUAAAAUAUUUCUAACAUUACUAGGUCUGGAUGAGUACAGGUUAAGGGGGCUCCUUAUGAUCCAAUAUUUAACAGCAUACUUUCAAGUGGAAACCUUGAGGUGUGGCUAAUCCCAUCUGCAAUCAGGAGGAGCCGGAGGAAAUGAAGGUAAACUGCCAAUGGGGUGUCUGAAGGUCACUGCGAGGCCUGCUUGUCAGGAUCUGAUGGCUGGGAUCAAAUCAAAGGUGGAAGGCUGACCUAGUAUACCAGAGGCCCUGGAUUCCAUCCCUAGCAUUGUAAAAAAAAAAAAAAAAAAAGUCAUGAUUCGACCAUAGUUAACAGUAGAAUGGGUCAGAGAGAAUGGCUGGGACUUCCUUCUGGAGUCACUCAUUGGAAGAACAGAACCUUCAUGCUCGGAAAUGCUGCAGAUAACGUUCAGCAUAAAGCCCAAGGCAUGACCUGAGUGAGCUAGCUUCCCGGGUAGUUUUCUAGACUGGAAAGCAGGGGAACUCAUACAGCUCUCCAGGCCCUCAGCAGUAGCUAGAGAAAAACGGACAGAUGAAAGGUCCCACAGUGUGCAGGGGCUCCCUCCAAGCCCUUGUGUUAUUUGUCUCCUCAGCUUGAGCCUAGUUGCUUGUCUUACAAAGGUGUGCGCCAUCUUGGCGAAUGACUUUUUAGAAAGCUCUUGUUUAUGAGAAUUUUAUCUGAAAUAUUUGAAUGUCUACUAGGAUCGUCACUCUUCCCUCAGUAGCCGAUCCCAACUUAUCCUUGAGUCUCUUCCGUGGUCAUCAGUUCUGCAGCAGUGAUGCAACUUGCAAUCCAGUCCCUUUGGAAACCAUUUCCACAGGAGCUGCCUGGUGGUAAGGAACAGAAAUAGAACUGGAUCAGAGUAGAGUGAGGCGGUAGAUUACUCGGGGUUUGUUUUGGCCAGAUGGUAUUUUCUAGGAAGCUGAAGAAGCAAGAGGCCCUGCCUGCCACCAAGGACUCCCUGAGGCAGAGAGCUGCAUCGGACACUCGGGAACUGUCUCCCCUUGCAGCUCCAGGGUACAGCCUUGAAAACAGUGGUCUCUGGUCUUGGCUCUGCUUCAGUUUAGCUGUCUGUCCCUGAGCCACUUCCCACUCUCAGUUUCGUUGUCUGAAAGUGGAAAAUACUAGAUUAGACAUAAGCCCUGUAUUUUAUCAUUUUGUAUGGUUUUAUGUUUCAGUUCUACAUAUUAAUGAACCUUUCACCUGUGUGGUGUUUUAUGUCUUAUAAAACACUUUCACAGCCACCCUAAGGGAUGAGUGGGACAGAUAUUAUUCCUCCUGUUUCAGAGAUUAAGGCACAAGAUCAGAGAAGUUAAACAAAUUUUUUCCAGUACGGGAGACUGAACUUCAGACCUUUGCACUGAGCUACAACCCCAGCUCUUAAAAAAAAUUCUUGCUUAAAUUAUGAGGCAGGCUCUCACUAAGUCACUAAAUUUCCCAGAGUGAGCUCAAACUUGCAGUCCUCUCCCCUCAGCCUCUCAGAGUACUGGGAGUACCUACCGGUCUGUGCCACCAGGCCAGGAUGAGCUUAAGCAAUUUAUUAUCACACUGAUAGCAAGUGGCAACCUAAGACUUCAGCCCAGGUCAUUCAACUUGGGGUCUUUGUCCUUUGGGGGAAUAGGAAUCCAUUCUGCCUUUGAAAUCAGAAAAUUACAGAUCUUCCUCCCAGAAAAAUUAACUUGUGAUUUUUAGAUUCUUAAGCUUAAUAUGGAUGCCAGAGUACAAUCCCCUUCUGCUGCCCUUUUCAAUGCUUGGAAAUGUGUGUGCAUCUUGCUUCUCUGAUCAUAUUGCAGAUUCCUUGGAGGUCCGGGCCAUGUGUUUUCUCCUCCCUCCAGCCAGUAUCACAGAGCCAAGCACCUAGCUGUUAUGGCCAAGGAGAGGGAAAGGAAAGCUGCAAUCCGAACAUGGCUUGGUGGGACAGAUGUCUCUUUCCACAUUUGACCACUUGUUCUAUAGCUGGUAACCUUGUACAUGUCCUGCCUCGUACUCUGUCCCCGCCUUCCUAGAACAGCACCGUAUCCCAUGGUGGCAGCACCAGCAGCUGCAGUACCCUCCUCCUCAGCAUGAUUUUCCAGGCACAAGAUGGACUUACAGAUAUGAGGCCAUGGCCUGGCAGAUCUCAGCUCAAGGAGCCUGAAGUUAGUAAGAAAGCAGGUCCACUGCCUUGGCUGAGGGAGCAGAGGAGAAUUGGUAGAGGGGUUACUGUAGGUUUCAGUCGGGAGGGAGAGGCAGCACUACAAGAGAGAACAGCCAGGAGUACCUGAGCAAGGCUGCCAGAGGCAUCUGGAUGACCAUCUGACAGUGGGAGGGGAGGCAGGCAGUGGGAUGCACCAAUAAGUCCAAGCCCAAGGCCCAGAUGGAUUCUCUGGCCACUUUCACACGCUUGGCACCAAGCCCCACUGCAAUCUUGCUUCAUCUCCCCGACCUCUGCCAUCAACAACCAUGACAUCAGUCCUUUCAUGAAGGGCAGGAGGGAGGGAACACUCAGUAAUUACCUAGAGGCAUCACUAUUGACCCAGUAAAUACAGAUGGCCCUAAUUUAAGUUCUUUACUGUUAUUGCCCUUGCCUUCCUCCCUUAUCCAAUUUCCCAAGUUCUGACUUUCCCAGUGGGGUAGAGAAGGAAAAGGACUCCAAGACUGUGGCAAGCUGGGCCACUCCCAAUAAAAUGAGACCGUCCCAUCCCCUUGGAAAAGGCUCAGUUGAGUUCCACCAGCCAAAACUCUGAUUGGUCCUCAGCAGGCAGAAGAACUGAAUUGCAGCAGAAGGAAGCCUUUUCCCUCCCAUUCUGCCCCCACACCAGUGACCACGAGAAAGAGCCUAGGAUGAUAGAACAUUGGAGUCAGCAAGGGCCUGAGAAAUUGCAUAUUGGUCCAGCACCCUCCCUGCUAGAUGAGGGCAACUGCAGGCUAUGACAGGAGCCCAAGGCCACCCAGGAAUUUACCGAAAAAUCUAAACUAGAAGUCUUAGGUGGUGAAGGUUGCCAGCCCAGGGCAAAUCUGAGCAGCCAAGGAAGAAAAUUAGAAUCUCCAGCCCUUCUUUAUGGACCCAGCUGCCGUCUGGGACGCUGUGUGUCAUAGUCGUUCAAGAAGACUCUGCCUCAGCCUUCCUGAAUCUGCCUAAACUGCUGUUCUAAGAGUCCUUCCAGCUGCCAUUUGCCAAACAUUUACAAAUGUUCCACAAGUAAAAAUCAAAGUUUGCAACUCUUCUACACCUGUCUUCUCACCGUUUCCAAAAGCACCCUGCAAACUUGCAUACAACCUGUGAAUGAACUCAGUUCAAAUAAACAGACAUUUACUGAGCUGCUGUUGGAAAGACAAUGUACCAGGUACUGAUCUCUGCGAGAAGACAAAUCUGAAGCCAGGGAUGGUGGUGCACACCUAUAAUCCAAGCACUCUGAGAGGCCCAGCAGGGAGAUUGCAAGUUCAAACCCAGCCUGGGCAACUUAGUGAAAUCCUGUCUCAAAAAGAGUUUUUAAGUAAAAGUUUAAAAAUCAAAGGAGCUGAACAUUUAGCUUAGUGUGAAGGCCCUACAUUUAAUCUUUAAUCUUCACGGAGAGAGAGAGAAAAGCUCUACCUUCAAAAAAUUCAUAAGCUAAUCAGUGAGGAGGAGGGCAACAGGCAAAAUUACAUUCAAAAUUACUAUCACAAAGCAGCAAUUUAAGAAGUUUCAUGGCACAAUACACGGCUAUUUGGGGGCCAGGGAUAUAGCUCAGUUGCGCAGCACCUGCCUGGCGAGUGCAAGGUCCAGAGU
rnacentral:lncRNA from 1 species